rnacentral:snRNA from 1 species
AUACCUUUCUCGGCCGUUGGCUAAGAUCAAGUAUAAUAUCGGUUCUUAUUAUUUUAUUAUCUGAUACGUGGGUCAUGAGCCUACGAUGAUAUUAAAUUUAUUUUCAUUACUAGCAAAAAUGACGAUGAUAUUAAAUUUAUUUUCAUUACUAGCAAAAAUAACCGUGCGUUGUAACGGGUGAAAAAAU